CACAAAACUCAUUCUACACAGAGUCAGUGUUUGAAGAGUGCAACUUGUGGCUCGCAAAUCCAAGUGGGUGAAGCAGUGAAGUAUUGCUCUGUGAUGGAAGGAUGGAUACCCUGCAGUAUUCAGUGUGGGAUGGGGCUCUGCCACAUGGUCAGCUUGAGACAGUUACUGGAAAAUAAGGCUUAUGGUGAACAUCAUUCUGGAAAGUACUGAUGAAAGUGAGGAUAUCUUGAAGAGCUGAGCUUCCUAUCUGAGUCCCAGUGCUUGUGAAUUCUCACCCUCCUGCCUCUUCAUUCACUUUUGUCUUUCUUAUGCUUGGAAUCACCAGUGGGACACUUGCUGGAAGAUCAUCAC